CCCCGCUGCGCCGCGGGGGCCCGGGGACGUCUCGCUUCAUCUGUCACCAGCUCUGUUCGCCUGCCCAGCUGUCAAAACAGGGGGUGUCUUUUUCAUUCCAGCUCACAAAGUACCAAAGGGGAAAGGGGCUUUAAUGCCUGUGUUUGGACACAAGCAAUUAUCCCUAAUUAUUGUUUUUCUUUUGAGCCUGCCCGUCCUGCUGGAGAGCCAGCAGAUGAGCAUGCCCUAAUCCUCCCCAGUCGGUUGAUCUCAGUGGGUUUUGCGGGACAAGCCGGGCGAGAAGGCUUCGUAGCUUUCAUCUCGAUGUGAGUUUUGAACUGAUUGAAACUCAUUGCGAUGGAAGAAUUAACCUCGGAGCCCAGGCUUUCAAUGGCCCCUGAUAAGAGAUUAUACGUGUUGAUGGCAAGCUUUUCUUGGCAAAAUGUUUUCAAAGGACUCGGAGCUGUUAAAUCAAAGCCCUAUUGAAUUGCUGUGGAAGACUAAGGUCUAACAGAAGAAAACCUUUGAGGAAUUAGAGGCGGAGAUAAGUAUUUUCCAUUGGAAAGCCAGACCGCUCCAAGAUAAAUGCUGACAAGUCACCUGCUGCAGGAAAGUGUUGAGCUGGAGAAAAAAAUCUGCUGGCAGGCAAGAAGAGAUGUUUGGAUGGGCCAAAUCUUGUUCACUUAUUAUGCGGGGCCAUGGGACAGUGUUAUUAAAUUUAUGUGCUGAUAAAUAAAUACAUAAAUUAAUAAAUAAGUAAAAUAAUUUUAGGAGUCCUACUGACUGUAAAGUGUUUCCUUCUCCACUAUGCUAGUCUGUAGUGGUAAUGAAGGGGCAGUGGAAGCAGUGGCAAUAUGGAGAUGACAAACAGCUUGAUGGAUAAGAUAUCUGGAAACUGCCUUAGAGAGAGGAUAUCAGCACAGCCAGAAGCUGGAGUGCUGUAAACCCAGACAGCAACCUAUGGAGGUAGUAGAGCCAGCUGCCUCAGCUGAUGCUCCUGCCAAAGGUGGAGGCCUAGGUUCCAAGCUAUUCAAAGUGUGUGCUGCAUGCUGGUAGUCAUAGUUUUCAAAAUUUACUGUUUAUUGCAUUUGCUCUUUCUCUCCAAUAACACUCCUUAUAUUUAGA